rnacentral:rRNA from 1 species
AAAGGAUGUGGCGUUGCCCAGACAACUAGGAUGUUGGCUUAGAAGCAGCCAUCAUUUAAAGAGUGCGUAAUAGCUCACUAGUCGAGUGACACUGCGCCGAAAAUGUACCGGGGCUAAACAUAUUACCGAAGCUGUGGAUUGUCCUUUGGACAAUGGUAGGAGAGCGUUCUAAGGGCGUUGAAGCAUGAUCGUAAGGACAUGUGGAGCGCUUAGAAGUGAGAAUGCCGGUGUGAGUAGCGAAAGACGGGUGAGAAUCCCGUCCACCGAUUGACUAAGGUUUCCAGAGGAAGGCUCGUCCGCUCUGGGUUAGUCGGGUCCUAAGCUGAGGCCGACAGGCGUAGGCGAUGGAUAACAGGUUGAUAUUCCUGUACCACCUAUAAUCGUUUUAAUCGAUGGGGGGACGCAGUAGGAUAGGCGAAGCGUGCGAUUGGAUUGCACGUCUAAGCAGUAAGGCUGAGUAUUAGGCAAAUCCGGUACUCAUUAAGGCUGAGCUGUGAUGGGGAGAAGACAUUGUGUCUUCGAGUCGUUGAUUUCACACUGCCGAGAAAAGCCUCUAGAUAGAAAAUAGGUGCCCGUACCGCAAACCGACACAGGUAGUCAAGAUGAGAAUUCUAAGGUGAGCGAGCGAACUCUCGUUAAGGAACUCGGCAAAAUGACCCCGUAACUUCG